rnacentral:rRNA from 1 species
UACGUAGGGUGCGAGCGUUGUCCGGAAUUACUGGGCGUAAAGAGCUCGUAGGUGGUUUGUCGCGUUGUUCGUGAAAACCUGAGGCUUUACCUUGGGCGUGCGGGCGAUACGGGCAGACUGGAGUACUGCAGGGGAGACUGGAAUUCCUGGUGUAGCGGUGGAAUGCGCAGAUAUCAGGAGGAACACCGGUGGCGAAGGCGGCUCUCUGGGACGGUACUGACGCUGAGACGCGAAAGCGUGGGGAGCGAACAGG